GUAGGUGGCAAGCGUUGUCCGGGAAUUAUUGGGGCGUAAAGCGCGCGCAGGCGGUUCUUUAAGACUGAUGUGAAAGCCCACGGGCUCAACCGUGGAGGGUCAUUGGAAACUGGAGAACUUGAGUACAGAAGAGGAAAGCGGAAUUCCACGUGUAGCGGUGAAAUGCGUAGAGAUGUGGAGGAACACCAGUGGCGAAGGCGGCUUUCUGGUCUGUAACUGACGCUGAGGCGCGAAAGCGUGGGGAGCAAACAGGAUUAGAUACCCUGGUAGUCCACGCCGUAAACGAUGAGUGCUAAGUGUUAGGGGGUUUCCGCCCCUUAGUGCUGCAGCUAACGCAUUAAGCACUCCGCCUGGGGAGUACGGCCGCAAAGGCUG
rnacentral:rRNA from 1 species